rnacentral:tRNA from 1 species
UCCCAGGUGGCUCAGCAGUAAAGUUUCUGCCUGCAAUGUAGGAGACCCGGGUUUGAUCCCUGGGUUGGGAA